rnacentral:lncRNA from 1 species
UGAGUCUGCCUGGCAGGGUUGGUCCAACAAAGCCAAAGCCCUCGAAUGGAGGACCUGAGCCCUAGGACCAUGCCUCAGGACUGCCUGACAUGAUGACUCCUUGCUGUCCCCAGUCCACCUGGCCAUGCUGCUGCUCCAGUUUUAACUGUUCUGCCUGCGGCAAUGGAACCCUGACCGGUUCACCGGACGUGCUACCUGUCCCAGACCUGCUGUUUUCAACUCUCUAGAGACAGCAGGAGUGGUAGAGAUACUCCCAAUGAUCGGCUAUGAAAAGCCAACUGACAUUUACUCUUGAGGUGCUGACUUGUUGCACCCUCGACAACUACUGUGAUUAUUAUUAUUUGACCAUGCUGGUCAUUUAUGAACAUUUGAACAUCUUGGCCAUGUUCUGUUAUAAUCUCCACCCGGCACAGCCAGAAGAGGACUGCCCCCCCCCCCUCAUAGCCUGGUUCCUCUCUAGGUUUCUUCCUAGGUUUUGGCCUUUCUACGGAGUUUUUCCUAGCCACCGUGCUUCUACACCUGCAUUGCUGGCUGUUCGGGGAUUUAGGCUGGGUUUCUGUACAGCACUUUGAGAUAUCAGCUGAUGUAAGAAGGGCUAUAUAAAUACGUUUGAUUUGAUUUGAUGAAGAAGGCACGACAAAACCUAUUCCUCCUCAGGAGACUGAAAAGAUUUGGGUCCUCAGAUCCUCAAAAGGUUCUACAGCUGCACCAUCGAGAGCAUCCGGACGGGUUGCAUCACUGCCUUAUAUGGCAACUGCUCGACCUCUGACUGCAAGGCAAUACAGAGCGUAGUGCGUACGGCCCAGUACAUCUCUGGGGCCAAGCUUCCUGUCAUCCAGGGCCUCUCUUCCAGGCGGUGUCAGAGGAAGUCCCUAAAAAUUAUCAAAGACUCCAGCCAACCUAGUCAUAGACUGUUCUCUCUGCUACCUCAUGGCAAGCGGUACCGGAGCGCCAACUCUAGGUCCAAGAGGCUCCUAAACAGCUUCUACCCCCAAGCCAUAAGACUUCUGAACAUCUAAUGAAAUGGCUACUCAGACUAUUUGCAUUGCCCCCCUCUUUUACACUGCUGCUACUCUCUGUUAUUAUCUAUGCAUAGUCACUUUAAUAACUCUCCAUACAUGUACAUAUUACCUCAAUUACCUCGAUUAACCGGUGUCCCCGCGCAUUGACUCACUAGCCCCUGUAUAUAGCCUGACUAUUGUUAUUUUACUGCUGCUCUUUAAUUAUUAGUUACUUUUAUUUCUUAUUCUUAUUUUUUAAGGUAUUUCAAAUCAAAUAAAAUGUAACUGCAUUGUUGGUUAGGGCUUGUAAGUAAGCAUUUCAUUGUAAGAUCUGCACCUAUUGUAUAUGGCGCAUGUGACAAAUAACAUUUGAUUUGAUUCAAUUUGAUUAGUAAGACUGACUCACCCCAUAUUCAAGAAUGGCUUUUUUUCACUUUAUUCAGAUUACAACCCCUCACUUUCGGUUAUUUGAAAUUGAAAUAAUCUCCAAAAUAUCGCUGUUUUUAAAAGAAGCCAUAGAUAGUUGGUUGCAAUUUCAGUUUAAUCCACCAGAAAAGACAGAACAAAUAUUACAACUAAUAUUAUGGUUAAACUCAAAUAUUCUAAUUGAUAAAGAAAAUAUAUUCUGGGGAAAAAAUGUUUAAAAACAGUAUAGUCCUUGUAAAUUAUAUCCUAAAUAGGACUGGUGGAGAUAUGUCACACAUGCAGCUAACAAAAAUAUAUGUAAAUGACUGCUUUACUCAAAAUUUUGCAGCCCUACCACAAAAUGGAAGAGGCAAGCAGAAGGGGGAGUAAGUAAGGAACUUGGCUGUGGGCCCUGCAUUAAUUAAAGACCAAAAUUGGUUAAACAAAAUUGUGAUAAAUAACCAAGUAUACCAGUUUCAUUUAAGGACCAAAAAAUUUAGAAAGUUAGUAAGAGAUUUUCAGUGUACUGAUUCCAUGCCACAUGGUUUAUGAACUGAUACACAAAACGAUUCAAAUUUUUCCAUUUAAAUUAUUGUACAAAUUAUUGCAACCAAUAGAAUGUUAUAUAUAUAUAUGGGGGAUACAACCAUCCCAGCUCUGCAGGUUUUGCUGUGAAGAGACAUAAUCAUUCGAUCAUUUGUUUUGGUACUGUAGCUUGUUUUUGGUCAUAGGUUCAGGAAUGGCUGAAGAAUUGCAACAUUUACCUGGAGUUAGCUGCAAAUAGCACUACUGGGUGAUUUGAAAAGUCCUAGUCAAUCGAUCAAUAAUAUAAACAUU